rnacentral:rRNA from 1 species
GAUGAACGCUAGCGGGAGGCUUAACACAUGCAAGUCGAGGGGUAUAGUAGCAAUACUAGAGACCGGCGGACGGGUGCGUAACGCGUAUGCAACUUGCCUUAUACAGGGGGAUAGCCCGUGGAAACGCGGAUUAAUACCCCAUAUGUCAUUUGGGUCGCAUGGUCUGGAUGAUAAAGCUGAGGUGGUAUAAGAUGGGCAUGCGUCUGAUUAGCUUGUUGGUAGGGUAAUGGCCUACCAAGGCGACGAUCAGUAGGGGUUCUGAGAGGAUAAUCCCCCAAACGGGUAAGGAGACACGGAACAGGGUCCGACGGGAGGCAGCAGUGAGGAAUAUGGGUCAAUGGGCGAUAGCCUGAACCAGCCAUUCCGCGUGAAGGAAGAAGGCCUUAUGGGUUGUAAACUUCUUUUCUGUAAGAAGAGAAGUCCCGACGUGUCGGGAUGUGACGGUAUUAUAGGAAUAAGCAUCGGCUAACUCCGUGCCAGCCGCCGCGGUAACAC